ACUGCACAUUUAAAAGAAGCAACAAGAGGAGGAAGAAGGAGUGAGACAGGAAGGGGAAGAAAGAGGUUGGAGCAGGGUCGACAGAGGAAAGACUGCAUACUUUGCCAGGAUGAGAGGGGAUGGCAGGGUUCGGCAGGUUCUGGCCAGAACGGGGAAGAAUCUGCGGCUUGGUCGAGAGCGACCGGGUAGACGCACGCAGGCUGGGAAGGAACCCCCGGACCACGCAGUAGACCCCGCAGGCUACCGGAACAAAACCCAAGACGUCCACAACAGGCAGGGGCAGAGGAAACUCUGCCGCCCAAGAGGGCGAUUUGGACCCAGAGACCUGCGGCGACCCCCAGAAGCGACCAGGAGGCGGAGCGGGACGGGUACAGCCACGUGGGUCCCGCGAGUGACCGGAAACUGGCAAGGAGAGUGGGCGUACCCAAGACGUUGACGCGGAACUACAGCAAAGGCCUGCCUUGCGUGAGGACGCUGUGGAAGUGGGCGGAGCCGGUAUAUAUAACCAAACGCCUGUUGUGACUGUAACCUCGCCCAUUACAUUAUUCAUAUUUGGUAUUUUAGUGUCAACAACGUGACUGGUGUUUUUAAUUGUAUUUUAAUAAAUUGUGAACCAGUUAA